rnacentral:rRNA from 1 species
UACGGAGGGUGCAAGCGUUAAUCGGAAUUACUGGGCGUAAAGCGCGCGUAGGCGGAUGAUUAAGUUGGAUGUGAAAGCCCAGGGCUCAACCUUGGAACUGCAUUCAAUACUGGUGAUCUAGAGUACAGUAGAGGAGGGUAGAAUUUCUUGUGUAGCAGUGAAAUGCGUAGAUAUAAGAAGGAAUACCAGUGGCGAAGGCG